GUCCCUUUAGGUCAGUUGGUUAGAGCACGGUGCUGAUAAUGCCAAAAUUGCAGGUUCGAUCCCUGCAUGGGGGAGCUGCACA